AACGGAGGGGACUAGUGUUAUUCAUCUUAACUGGGCGUAAAGGGUAAGUAGAUGGUUUUAUAAGUUUCAAUUUAUAAUCUAAGCUUAACUUAGAAAAUUUUGCAAAUACUGUAGAACUUUGUGAUAAAAGGGAAGAUAAGUUGUAAUUUUGGUGUAAAGAUGAAAUUUUUGAAUAUCAAAAAGACAUUCAAUUGGCGAAAGCAACAGUCUAUAAUUAUCGGACGUUGAAUUACGUAGGUGUGGGGAUCGAACAGG
rnacentral:rRNA from 1 species